UCGAGCGGACAGAUGGGAGCUUGCUCCCUGAUGUUAGCGGCGGACGGGUGAGUAACACGUGGGUAACCUGCCUGUAAGACUGGGAUAACUCCGGGAAACCGGGGCUAAUACCGGAUGCUUGUUUGAACCGCAUGGUUCAAACAUAAAAGGUGGCUUCGGCUACCACUUACAGAUGGACCCGCGGCGCAUUAGCUAGUUGGUGAGGUAAUGGCUCACCAAGGCAACGAUGCGUAGCCGACCUGAGAGGGUGAUCGGCCACACUGGGACUGAGACACGGCCCAGACUCCUACGGGAGGCAGCAGUAGGGAAUCUUCCGCAAUGGACGAAAGUCUGACGGAGCAACGCCGCGUGAGUGAUGAAGGUUUUCGGAUCGUAAAGCUCUGUUGUUAGGGAAGAACAAGUACCGUUCGAAUAGGGCGGUACCUUGACGGUACCUAACCAGAAAGCCACGGCUAACUACGUGCCAGCAGCCGCGGUAAUACGUAGGUGGCAAGCGUUGUCCGGAAUUAUUG
rnacentral:rRNA from 1 species